AUAUAUUUAAUAUACAUAUACUAAAAUUGGAAUGAUACAGAGAAGAUUAGCAUGGCCCCUGUGCAAGGAUGACACACAGAUUUGUGAAGCAUUCCAUAUUUUU
ensembl:snRNA U6 U6 spliceosomal RNA